rnacentral:rRNA from 1 species
CGAGUGGCGGACGGGUGAGGAAUACAUCGGAAUCUACUCUGUCGUGGGGGAUAACGUAGGGAAACUUACGCUAAUACCGCAUACGACCUACGGGUGAAAGCAGGGGACCUUCGGGCCUUGCGCGAUUGAAUGAGCCGAUGUCGGAUUAGCUAGUUGGCGGGGUAAAGGCCCACCAAGGCGACGAUCCGUAGCUGGUCUGAGAGGAUGAUCAGCCACACUGGAACUGAGACACGGUCCAGACUCCUACGGGAGGCAGCAGGC